rnacentral:lncRNA from 1 species
UCACGGAAGACCGGUCCCCUACGUGAGAGAUCCCGCGAGAUCGUGCGGUCCACCGGUCCAUUUAAUAUCCUCCAAUUUAAAGAGGCGAUUUAAAUCGGUUGGGGAAUAAGAAUUCUAUCGGGCGAGCGACGUGGCGCGAUGCGGCACGUGGUAUCUGACGACACGAAGUCACGUGACUGCCUGCGGCCGACACGAGUCCCCCUCGAUUUAAUGGCGGCACAUGC